GAGAAAGCCAAGAAAGUUGCCAGAAACUCUGGAACUAUGCAUCUGGGAAGUUCUUGAAAGUAUAUACAGGCCAUGUCAACCAAGCUUACUGCAUCACAUCCAUGUUCUCUGUUACAAAUGGUAAAUACAUUGUCAGUGGCUAAGAGGACAAUUGUAUAUACAUUUGGGAUCUGCAAGGAGAUAGCAUUAUCACAGGAAGUUGUGGUGUCAUCAAAACAGUUCUGGUAGUUGAUUGAUAUAAGCAAAAGGUUCACUUUU